GGUUGCAUAGUGUAGUGGUUAUCACGUGACCUUCACAUGGUCAAGGUCUCCAGUUCGAUCCUGGAUGCAAUCA